rnacentral:misc_RNA from 1 species
UUGAAGCUAAUCAUUGGCAUUUAGGACUAGAGACUAGGAAAAGGAACUUGGUGCAAAGUGACACUAAUAAAUUUAGCACUUCUGAAUAUGACUAAAAUCAUUGCAAAAUGAUAGUAAGAGGAUGAACUGAAAACUAAGAACCUGAAAUGCUAAACCUUUUUAAAAUAAUUUCAAUUUUGUGGAUUGUGGAUGUUUUGACUUGACGUAGGCCAGAUUAAUCAGUGGUUGCAAGAUGA